rnacentral:tRNA from 1 species
GGGUGAUUAGCUCAGCUGGGAGAGCACCUCCUUACAAGGAGGGGGUCGGCGGUUCCGAUCCCGUCAUCACCCACCA